rnacentral:rRNA from 1 species
UACAGAGGUCUCAAGCGUUGUUCGGGUUCAUUGGGCGGAAAGGGUGCGUAGGUGGCGCUGUAAGUCGGGUGUGAAAUUUCGGAGCUUAACUCCGAAACUGCAUUCGAUACUGCGGUGCUUGAGGACUGGAGAGGAGACUGGAAUUCAUGGUGUAGCAGUGAAAUGCGUAGAGAUCGGGAGGAACAUCAGUUGCGAAGGCGGCUCUCUGGACCAGUACUGACGCUGAGGCACGAAAGCGUGGGGAGCAAACAGG